rnacentral:tRNA from 1 species
GGGGGUGUAGCUCAGUUGGUUAGAGCGCGGCCUGUCACGCCGGAGGCCGCGGGUUCGAGUCCCGUCACUCCCG